ACACCUAGUUAAUAAAACAAAACAAGUUACAACCGUUUCUUUUCUUCUUCGUUCUUCUCCCAACUCAUGCUUAAAUACAAAACUAAAUAAACAAACUAACUACCACGUGAACAUGUGCAACUAGCACAUCCACUACACCCUCCACUAAACAAAACAUAAAUUAAGAUAAACGUUUGACUCAUUAUUUUGAUCUAAGGCCACGUCAUCGUCUUCUCCACAUUGUAUCUCAUCAAUACUUGUAGUGGAUGUGCUAGUCUGUUUUGGCGGCUCUAUCUCUUCCACUGUCACUUUUUCUGUACUGAUUCCAAUCAUCAGCUGUUUGUUAUAUGCAACGCAAAGAACGCACCGUUUACACCAUAUUAUUGGGUAGUGAAGCACUGAAAUAGAUGGUUUCAUCUCUGAUUUUGUUUUUGCCUGACUUUUUUUUUUCUAUUUAAAUAUAUUCUCAUUAGCUUACCUUGAUUGCUUUAACUUGUACUUAUUCUUGUCAGGUAUUUACCAGAACUUCAUAUUUAAUUAUCACAAGAAUAGAAGCUCAGAUUUUGGGGAAUAAGCUUCCCUGUUAUUUUUUUUUGUUCAAUGUCGAUCAUGGGAUUCUGUAUGAUUGUAUUCUAAAAUAUGUCUUGCUAAGUAUAAUGGGAACCGCACAAUGUUGUAUAAUUCUUCCUAUUGAUAGCUCAUAUGUAUCCUGAAUUUCUAGAUUUUGAAACUUCAUCUAGAUGAAUAUGCAGACAUUAUCCAAAUUCAUGCUCCUUGUAUACCUUAAGCAAUAAUGAUGCGAGGAUUUGAGCACCUAAAAUGUGUACACUAAGCUUGCCGGUGAGAAGAAGUGGAAGAUUUCAAAAGUCAGAAUGAGUUGCUGACCAGUAAGAUGUAGAUGCAAAGAUCAGAUGGACGUUCUGAUACAGACGUAAAUACAGCAGCGAAUAGAGCAUAGUCUGCAACAGAGAAGUGUACGUGCAGAUGAACAAGUCAAGAUGAAGAUUACGACUUGAAGAAUGGAUUGCGGACCAAGGCGAAGUUAAUGCGAAGACAUCUUGGGGAGCAAGCUUGAAGAGAUUCACCUUGGAGACGGGAGAUCUCACGAUGGGAAGUUUCUUAAAGACUUUGGAGAGGUUUUAGGGAACUUACCAUAUUUGGGUAGAUAGUGAAUAUUGGGUAAAUAGGCGUGGAUAGCCGACUUGGCUGUAUUGUAUAUAUAGUCAUACUCGACCUGUG